CCUUAUCAGGGAGUUGAAAUUUAUAUACAUAAUACCAAAUUAUUUGUAAAAAGUCUUUUUGAACAGCUAUAAAAUGUUUAAAAACUGUGGCAGAUGCAGUUAUCACACAUCCACUUGAUAGUGAAAGCAGAAACCCAACAAGUUUUACCUAAUUCUUGCACUGAAUUUAAAUAAUAUAAAGUUAAAUGUGCAUUUUAAACAGAAUUUAUUUCUCAUUUAUUGGUUAGCAUAGAACAAUGCUUAGUGUUAGAGAGUUGAUCACAAGAUUGGUUUUAGAAGGAAGACGGUAAGAAAGCAGAAGCACCUUACUGGGGAGCAUGUUGCAUUCAUUUAGUGCUACUGAACAAUUCAGUAGUGAUUUCUGAACUUUGCUGCAAAGUGCUCUUUAUUUAAAGCACAUAAAAAGAGUCUCUGCUUAAUUGCUUUGUAAAGUGAAGCAAUGGUAUUUUUUAUCCUAUAAAUAUAGUCUAAUUUAAAAGUUUUUCCUACAAAAUGAGUUUAUAUUGCCGCCUAAACUAUCAUCUAUGUAAACAAAGGAUUUUUUAAAAGGCGAGAGAGGGAGUCUGGAUUGUGAGA
rnacentral:lncRNA from 1 species